AUUGAACGCUGGCGGCAGGCUUAACACAUGCAAGUCGAGCGAGUGGCGGACGGGUGAGCAAUGUCUGGGAAACUGCCUGACGGAGGGGGAUAACUACCGGAAACGGUAGCUAAUACCGCAUACCAUCGGAUGUGCCCAGAUGGGAUUAGCUAGUAGGUGGGGUAAAGGCUCACCUAGGCGACGAUCCCUAGCUGGUCUGAGAGGAUGACCAGCCCCACUGGGACGGAGACACGGUCCAGACGCCUACGGGAGGCAGCAGUGGGGAAUAUUGCACAAUGGGCGCAAGCCUGAUGCAGCCAUGCCGCGUGUGUGAAGAAGGCCUUCGGGUUGUAAGGGACUUUCAGCGAGGAGGCGUUACUCGCAGAAGAAGCACCGGCUAACUCCGUGCCAGCAGCCGCGGUAAUAC
rnacentral:rRNA from 1 species